rnacentral:siRNA from 1 species
ACCUCGACCGUCUCCUCUAUCAAA